rnacentral:rRNA from 1 species
GGUAUGCUUAGGGAGGAGCUUGCGUCACAUUAGUUAGUUGGUGGGGUAAAGGCCUACCAAGACUAUGAUGUGUAGCCGGGCUGAGAGGUUGAACGGCCACAUUGGGACUGAGACACGGCCCAAACUCCUACGGGAGGCAGCAGUAGGGAAUUUUCGGCAAUGGAGGAAACUCUGACCGAGCAACGCCGCGUGAACGAUGAAGUAUUUCGGUACGUAAAGUUCUUUUAUUAGGGAAGAAUAAAUGAUGGAAAAAUCAUUCUGACGGUACCUAAUGAAUAAGCCCCGGCUAACUAUGUGCCAGCAGCCGCGGUAAUACAUAGGGGGCAAGCGUUAUCCGGAAUUAUUGGGCGUAAAGGGUGCGUAGGCGGUUAAAUAAGUUUAUGGUCUAAGUGCAAUGCUCAACAUUGUGAUGCUAUAAAAACUGUUUAGCUAGAGUAAGAUAGAGGCAAGUGGAAUUCCAUGUGUAGUGGUAAAAUGCGUAAAUAUAUGGAGGAACACCAGUAGCGAAGGCGGCUUGCUGGGUCUUUACUGACGCUGAGGCACGAAAGCGUGGGGAGCAAACAGGAUUAGAUACCCUGGUAGUCCACGCCGUAAACGAUGAGUACUAAACGUUGGGUAAAACCAGUGUUGAAGUUAACACAUUAAGUACUCCGCCUGAGUAGUACGUACGCAAGUAUGAAACUUAAAGGAAUUGACGGGACUCCGCACAAGCGGUGGAUCAUGUUGUUUAAUUCGAAGGUACCCGAAAAACCUCACCAGGUCUUGACAUGCUUCUGCAAAACUGUAGAAACACAGUGGAGGUUAUCAGUUGCACAGGUGGUGCAUGGUUGUCGUCAGCUCGUGUCGUGAGAUGUUGGGUUAAGUCCCGCAACGAGCGCAACCCUUAUUGUUAGUUACCAGCACGUAAUGGUGGGGACUUUA